rnacentral:rRNA from 1 species
GAUUUGGGCUACACACGUGCUACAAUGGACAAUACAAAGGGCAGCGAAACCGUGAGGUCAAGCAAAUCCCAUAAAGUUGUUCUCAGUUCGGAUUGUAGUCUGCAACUCGACUACAUGAAGCUGGAAUCGCUAGUAAUCGUAGAUCAGCAUGCUACGGUGAAUACGUUCCCGGGUCUUGUACACACCGCCCGUCACACCACGAGAGUUUGUAACACCCGAAGCCGGUGGAGUAACCUUUUAGGAGCUAGCCGUCGAAGGUGGGACAAAUGAUUGGGGUGAAGUCGUAACAAGGUAGCCGUAUCGGAAGGUGCGGCUGGAUCACCUCCUUUCUAAGGA